rfam:Rhizoclosmatium globosum strain JEL800 BCR33scaffold_158, whole genome shotgun sequence.
GGGCAGAUGGCCGAGCGGUCUAAGGCGCUAGCUUCAGGUGCUAGUGUGGCAACACGCGUGGGUUCAAAUCCCACUCUGCUCA